rnacentral:rRNA from 1 species
UACGGAGGGGGCGAGCGUUAUUCGGAAUUAUUGGGCGUAAAGGGCGCGUAGGCGGCUGUACAAGUCAAAGGUGAAAUCCCUCGGCUCAACUGUGGAACUGCCUCGGAUACUGGGUGCCUCGAGGGUGGUAGGGGUAUGCGGAACUAUCGGUGGAGCGGUGAAAUGCGUUGAUAUCGAUAGGAACUCCGGUGGCGAAGGCGGCAUACUGGACCACAUCUGACGCUGAGGCGCGAAAGCCAGGGGAGCAAACGGG